UUAAUAUCUCCCUUUCGCUGCAAUAUCUUCCUAACCAAAAAAAAUCUCUUUCGUAGCAGGAAACACGAAUAACUAAAUUUCAUUCAUACCCAAUCGAUUCUUUAUAUCUGCUAUGUUAAUUAGGGUUUCAAAACAAAUCAAUUUCAAAGAUGCUAGAAACUCUAAGACCAAUAACAUACAUUUCUGCUACUUCUUCUACAGUUAAAUUUCAAUACUGUAGACUCCAAUCUAGGGUUUUCCACCACCGUUUUAUCCCUAUUAAUAGUUCCCUUACUUUGCCUUCAAUUAACCCUAAAUCCUUCAAUUUUUUAUCGAAUACCAAAAUCAGAGACUAUAAAAUCUUAGCCAGAUGUCAAGAUAGCGAUUCUACCGAGAAAACAAGCACCGAAACCGAGCCACAAAACAACCCACCACCAUCACCGCCAUCGUCGAAUUCAGGGUCAAAGCAGAAGAGAGAGAAGCAAGGGAAAAGCCAAUGGUGGUUUUCCAAGAAGCAGAAUUGGAAAUGGCAACCUUUAAUUCAAGCGCAAGAAAUUGGUGUCUUGCUUUUGCAAUUAGGGAUUGUUAUGUUCGUUAUGCGGUUGCUUCGACCCGGGAUUCCUUUGCCCGGGUCGGAGCCAAGGCAACCCACUACUUUUGUCAGCGUGCCGUAUAGUGAGUUUUUGGGUAAAAUUAGUAGUAAUCAUGUGCAAAAAGUGGAGGUUGAUGGUGUGCAUAUAAUGUUUAAGUUGAAAGAUGAAGGAGUUAGUGGUCAAGAGAGUAGCAGUGAAGUGGUUGAUAGCAAGUUUCAAGACUCGGAAUCUUUGUUAAGGAGUGUGACGCCUACUAUGAAAAAGAUUUUGUAUACUACGACGAGGCCUACUGAUAUUAAGACUCCGUAUGAGAAAAUGCUGGAGAAUCAGGUGGAGUUUGGUUCGCCUGAUAAGAGGUCCGGUGGAUUCUUGAAUUCAGCAUUGAUAGCUUUGUUCUACGUAGCUGUGCUUGCAGGGCUUCUUCAACGUUUCCCUGUUACCUUUUCUCAGCAUACAGCUGGUCAGGUUAGGAACCGUAAGUCUGGGGGUUCUGGAGGUUCAAAAGUGUCUGAGCAAGGUGAAACAAUAACUUUUGCUGAUGUUGCUGGGGUUGAUGAAGCUAAAGAAGAGCUAGAAGAAAUUGUGGAAUUUCUCAGGAAUCCAGACAGGUAUACAAGACUUGGUGCUCGUCCUCCUCGAGGUGUUCUCCUGGUGGGCCUUCCUGGGACAGGUAAGACUCUUCUAGCAAAGGCUGUUGCUGGAGAAGCUGAAGUUCCCUUUAUAAGUUGUUCUGCAAGUGAAUUUGUUGAGUUGUAUGUUGGCAUGGGUGCCUCCCGUGUGAGAGAUCUCUUUGCCCGGGCAAAGAAGGAGGCACCAUCAAUAAUAUUUAUUGAUGAGAUAGAUGCUGUGGCUAAAAGUCGUGAUGGAAAAUACCGCAUUGUUAGCAAUGAUGAAAGGGAGCAGACUUUGAAUCAGUUGCUCACUGAGAUGGAUGGGUUUGAUAGCAACUCUGCUGUUAUUGUUCUUGGUGCAACAAAUCGCUCAGAUGUGUUAGACCCUGCACUUCGCCGACCAGGAAGAUUUGAUCGUGUGGUUAUGGUGGAAACACCUGAUAGGAAUGGAAGAGAAGCCAUUUUAAAAGUACAUGUUUCCAAGAAAGAACUGCCUCUGGGAGAGGAUGUUAACCUCAGUGACAUUGCCUCUAUGACUACUGGUUUAACUGGGGCAGAUCUUGCAAAUCUGGUAAACGAAGCUGCUUUGUUGGCUGGAAGGAAAAACAAAGUACUAGUGGAGAAAUUUGAUUUCAUUCAGGCAGUGGAGCGGUCAAUAGCUGGCAUUGAGAAGAAGACUGUCAAGUUGCAAGGAAGCGAGAAGGCUGUGGUUGCACGUCAUGAAGCUGGCCAUGCAGUAGUAGGUACUGCUGUUGCUAAUAUUCUUACUGGACAGCCACGUGUAGAGAAGUUGAGCAUAUUACCAAGGUCAGGAGGGGCUUUGGGCUUUACUUAUACACCCCCAACAAAUGAGGAUAGAUAUUUGCUCUUCAUUGAUGAGUUGCGUGGCCGCUUGGUUACUCUUCUUGGAGGACGGGCAGCAGAAGAAGUUGUUUAUUCAGGUCGUGUCUCGACAGGUGCCCUGGAUGAUAUUCGGCGGGCUACUGAUAUGGCAUACAAAGCAGUAGCUGAAUAUGGUCUUAAUCAGACAAUAGGUCCCGUGUCUCUAGCAACACUUUCUGGAGGAGGGAUGGAUGAAUCUGGAGCUGCUCCAUGGGGAAGGGAUCAGGGGCAUCUUGUUGAUCUUGUUCAAAGAGAGGUGAAAGCAUUGCUGCAAUCUGCCCUUGAUGUAGCACUUUCUGUUGUGCGUGCUAAUCCAACUGUCUUGGAGGGGCUUGGUGCCCAUCUGGAAGAGAAAGAGAAAGUAGAAGGUGAGGAGCUGCAAGAGUGGUUGAAGUUGGUAGUUGCUCCAAAAGAGCUAGCUCUCUUUGUCGAAGGCAAGCAAGAGUCAUUUCUCCCGCUAUAAGCAGGCGCCUAAUGAACAGUGAUUGUGCUCUCAGCUUUUCACCAUCAUGCAAACAAUGGAGCUAGCCUGUAGUGCCUCAAGCCAUUAUAAUAUGAACUUAAUGGCAUAAACUCUGAACUCCUACAGCAUUAUGUUUCAAUGAGGUAAAUUUUUGAUGUCAUUUUAACAUUACUGGCCCAAAUGCAGAAGAAAUGGGGGAAAAGCUGAUCUGCCGCUUGCUGCUGCCGGAGCUUAGCCAAGUCUCUCACCAUCUUGACAUUGCCCCCCUUUACACUACUGGAGAGGAACUCGAUCAGCCUGCCAAAAGCAAGUGUUUGUCUGGGGACCGAUAAUGGGGAACAGACAUUAAAUGGAUAAACAUUGGACGAAUAACUAAAAUGAAGAACUAGAAGUUAAAUUUUAGUCUGAGUUAUUUGUCCGCCAACCACGGUUAUUUGGUCGGGUCAUCAGGCUAUAGGGAAGGGAAGGGAAGAAGACAAGUGCUGGGUUCCUAAACACUUUUGCAUUUGUUUUUUAUUAUUAUUAUUAUUAACAUGAAUAUUCGAGGAAUAUAUACAUAAGAGUCUUGAGGACCACACGUCUCUGUACGUCUCAUGUGCAGGACAUGAAUAUAAUAGCCAGUGCCAUAGAUUUGGCUUAGGUUGUAUGCUUCCAAACGUCAAGAGCUGACCAAGAGUAGUAGCAAUUUCUUGUGAUAAUUUUACGGGACAGGAUCAGUACCACGUACAAUUAAUUGGUUAUUGGCUAAAAUCCAAUACUUAGUUUCGUGUCCUGGUUGUAACUUGACAGAGGUUUUGGAAUUUGAAGCAGCUCGCUUGGAAGUUUCAAAACAGAAGCUUUUCUGCUUCGAUACCUUGCCUCUUGAAAUUAUGGCAAGGAAUGAUGGCCUUUAUUGCUAAAAAACAAAGAAGAGAGAAAUCAUUCAUUUUUUUCUUCUUCUCUCCUUCAUUGUCGAAA